rnacentral:lncRNA from 1 species
AGAUUCCUCCGGUCAAGUCACAUGAGAUGCUCUCUUCAGUCCGGGGCUUGGUUGAACGGACUCACCAGGAAACGUGACUUUCGUGUCCGACCUCUGCUGUAUCAGGAUUCGAUUCUUGGUGUUAAACAAGACAACGCUGAAGGCUCGGUGCAGCAGCCCUGCAAAGGUUUUUCCAGCGCUCUUGGGAGGUGGGCUGUGCCACUGCCUGGCCCACCUGGCCCACCUGGCCCACCAUUACCUGAAGGGAAGCAUGAACAGCCUUUGACGUGGGAGUGGCGACUGCUGAGAGGGAACUGUCUGUACACAAGCAAUGUAGCCUUAUGGGACCUGAGUGGAGCCCCAACCCACGCAGGGCGUGUCUUCAUGGCUUUUCCUGGCCAAUCUGAUACCAAGAUGCAGUGGCCAGAAGUACCUGCACUUCCACUCCUGUCAAGUCUCUGCAUGGCUAUGGUGAGGAAGAGCUCUGCACUGGGCAAGGAAGUUGGCCGUCGAGUGAAGGAAAUGGUGAUGCUGGUGGCCCCUUUCCGGCAGUCAAGUUCCCUAUCAAGGACAUUCAGUUCUCGGAAAGUGGUGAAGGCACAUGCUUCCCUGCAUGGUGCCCGCCUCUCUCCACUCUCUAGAAAUAUUAGAGGCUAGGCUGCUGCUGUAUGUCAGGGCUAGUCCCUCUUCUAUGAAUCCAGAAUAACUCUGAAGAAGCCGAGUAACAGGCAUGAAGUGAAGAGAAAUCGCUGUAACAGGAAGACAGCAAAGCAGAUGCUAAUGACCACACUAUUUAACGAACUGGAACCAACGAGAAAAUACGGUAUUACUGAAGACUGCACUUCCUUGAACAGAGUGCUCUUCUCAGCAAAUCGGAAAUGCCUACACAAAUCGCUUUACAAGAAAGACUGUUUCAAAGCAGCACCUUUCUCAAUGUUCUCGUUCAGGUGACAAUUCUUCUUGGUCUCAGCUCCAAUUUUAUUGUCAUUUUCAUCAAUAAGGAUACACAUCUCUGCCAGGAGUUGAACCUGUUGCUUGUCGAGGUGGUUAGUGUUUAUUUCAGGCAUCAUUACAAAAUGUCUGAUCUGUUCUAGAACACUAAUAUUAAAGGAAAAGAGAAAGAAAGGCCAUCAUA